rnacentral:rRNA from 1 species
GGACUACCCGGGUAUCUAAUCCUGUUUGCUCCCCUAGCUUUCGUCCCUCAGCGUCAGUUGUGAUCCAGCGAGCCGCUUUCGCCUCGGAUGUUCCUACGGAUAUCUACGCAUUUCACCGCUACACCCGUAAUUCCACUCGCCUCUCUCACACUCGAGCACGGCAGUUUCGUUAGCAGCCUCUGGGUUAAGCCCAGAGAUUUCACUAUCGACUUGCCGCACCGCCUACGGACCCUUUACGCCCAGUAAUUCCGAGCAACGCUGGCCCCCUACGUAUUACCGCGGCUGCUGGCAC